UACGUAGGGGGCAAGCGUUGUCCGGAAUUUUGGGCGUAAAGAGCGUGUAGGCGGCCAGAUAAGUGCGCUGUGAAAUCUCGAGGCUCAACUUCGAGCUGUCGGUGGAAACUAUCUGGCUAGAGUCCGGAAGAGGAGAAUGGAAUUCCUGGUGUAGCGGUGAAAUGCGCAGAUAUCAGGAAGAACACCCGUGGCGAAGGCGGUUCUCUGGGACGGUACUGACGCUGAGACGCGAAAGCGUGGGGAGCGAACAGG
rnacentral:rRNA from 1 species